rnacentral:lncRNA from 10 species
GCCACACUGUGCCGGCUGAGACCAGAUGAGAAAGGGGAGGUGGAGAAAUGGAGGGGCUUUGAAAAGUAUCCGAAGAAAUGUAAAAUAUUGAAAAGAUUCCCGUGAGGCCCAUUUUUACAUUCAAGUUUUCACUGCGGUUUAAAAGAACGUAUGUUGUGUGUUGCAGAGGCCUUUAAAAAAUAGCUUUUAGAAAAACAGCAGACACGUCCCACUCUACCAAGAAUGUGCGCGGCCCGGGGCAGGAGCAGCUCCUGUUGGGUAUUGGAUGACGAGUUCUUCUCAUAAGGAUUCCGUGAUUUCAGAACGUUCCUACUGUUUUCACGCAGCCAAACACGCCCUCUCCUUCUUUGCUCCCUUGGACUCGGGCUCACCGUGGGGCAUCCGCAGUCACCGCCACGUCGGACUCCGUGGGGGCUUCCCUGACCACGUGGCACCUGUCCGUUCUCCU